UUCUCCACAUUACCUUUCUACGAGGUCUUGACUGCUCACUGGGGGUGCUGACUCCAGACUCUGUGCCACAGAUCAACUUUGAAAAAAUGCAUUAUCCUUUCCUUCCUCAAGGGACAUAAUAGCAAGUCCAGACCAUGCCUUUUUAAACUAUGAGAAAAAUUUUAAGAAAUUUGUCCUCUGGGCCCCUAAAUAUUAUUCUUGAUGUCUAUUCUAGCACAUAUCAGAAUUUCUCCAUUAAAACAGGAAGUAUGAGGAAUCUGAAGUAAAAAAAA